rnacentral:rRNA from 2 species
GCGAAUCGAYGGGAAGCUUGCUCCCUGAGAUUAGCGGCGGACGGGUGAGUAACACGUGGGCAACCUGCCUAUAAGACUGGGAUAACUUCGGGAAACCGGAGCUAAUACCGGAUACGUUCUUUUCUCGCAUGAGAGAAGAUGGAAAGACGGUUUACGCUGUCACUUAUAGAUGGGCCCGCGGCGCAUUAGCUAGUUGGUGAGGUAAUGGCUCACCAAGGCGACGAUGCGUAGCCGACCUGAGAGGGUGAUCGGCCACACUGGGACUGAGACACGGCCCAGACUCCUACGGGAGGCAGCAGUAGGGAAUCUUCCGCAAUGGACGAAAGUCUGACGGAGCAACGCCGCGUGAACGAAGAAGGCCUUCGGGUCGUAAAGUUCUGUUGUUAGGGAAGAACAAGUACCAGAGUAACUGCUGGUACCUUGACGGUACCUAACCAGAAAGCCACGGCUAACUACGUGCCAGC